rnacentral:lncRNA from 1 species
GAAUUAAUUAAGAGCCCAGUAAAGAGAAGGGAUCUCCCCUGCUAUUUGGCCAAGAAGUCCCCUAAAAUAUUUAUAUAACUUCCUUGGAUUUUAUUCCCCUCCCUCGUGGCUAGUCCCAUUUUUUCAAGUUCCUAUUAAGAUAGACUUCCAUCAGUCAUAUCCUUUUGUUUCUCGUAGCUCAUCUCUCUUAGAUACAAGAUCAGAAUGAUAUUCACGACACCCAAGUCACACUCCUGAUGGGUCAGGAUAAUUGCCCUUGGGAUCCUUCCCUCACAGGCUUCCUGUGAGACUCAGGUUAUACUGAGGGAAGUUGAAUGUAUGAAUCGCCUCCUACCCGGUUUUAAUUACCCCAUUGAUGCAGACCACCACAGGAGCUUCUAAAUACACAUGCACCAGCUUUGCAUGCCCUUAAAACCAAAUCCAGGGAUGUCAGCAAAAUGGCAGAAUAGGCAGUUCCAAGCUCUUGUCUCUCCACAGAAAUGCUGAAAAACAAGCAGAAACUGGCAGAAUCAACUUUGUCAGAACUCUGGAAAACAGUCAAAGGUUUACAGUGACCAGGGCUACCUGAAAUACUGAUGCAAGAGUCUGGUUUGCCCAACUUAGAACUCACUCAGGACAGAAAAGUGGCCAGUGUUACUUAGAAACAUUGUAAGGUGAUCAACAACCCACAGUCACCUGGAGCUAAAGAUGACAGCUGAGACACAACAGACUGCCUAAAGCCUGUGAAGAAAAGCUGGAGAGAGUUUUUUGGAGAAAGCAGGGUGUGGAAAAGCACUCAAGUAUACUGAGGAAUUUAGAAAGCCAUACACAUGCCCAGGGC